rnacentral:SRP_RNA from 1 species
CCGUGCUAGGCGGGGAGGUAGCGGUGCCCUGUACCUGCAAUCCGCUAUAGCAGGGCUGAAUUCCGGCCUGAGGCCGUUGGUUUUUAGUAUGAGUUGGGGCAAGCGGUGUUGAUUAGCCGGGUCCCACGCAAUAGAAAUUUGUGAACCCCGUGAGGUCCGGGAGGAAGCAGCGGUAAGCGAACUCUUCUAUGUGCCGCGGGAUAGCCUGGUUGGAGCUGGCUACCCUGAUAUCGCUUGAUUCCAAUUGUCGAAGGUUGGUGCACGG